GUUGAUUCAGUCCCACAGAACGUGGCGAUCUCGAAGGAUGUGCAGAGUGCUGGAAACAGAAAUGUAGUUUGUGGUUAGAUGUGGUGUGUGUCUUGUGCUGACGGGUAUGAACAUAUCGAGAGAAACUUAUUUCGUGAUAGGAACAAACACUUUUCAACCAAAUCAAAACUACACGGUGCUGGUCAGUAAGAUCCAGAACAAAAGUACCAAUAGAAUGCUGUAGCUACGCAAAAAACGAAGCGACUCUGAUGGCCCUCUCUUGCUAAAUUUCACGGAAACAGUGACUGUGCAGCCAAAUACAAAUGAGAUGAUGGCCUUCAAACCGAGGUUGAAAUUGUAUCUCGCAUAGUCUUCACAACAUGCAGAUUGUGAAUGAUAUUAUUCAGAUACCAAGAUACAUAACAAACGGAAAUUGCUCUAUGAUAAUGGAUUUAUUGUGAGACUGCAAAGUGUCAACACACAAAUAGAGCGAAUAUCGUAGAUCCUCGCUGCCAGGCUUGAUACAACUCAUAAAACCCAUCUGCACACCAGGCGACAAGCUAAAGAUCCGUUUGAUUGUGGCCGAUACCGAUUUAAAGCAUGCUCUGAUUCCAACUACGAUGUGACAGGGCAUUGUCAGUUUUUACAGUAGAGAAUUCCAAACCAAAUAUUCCCUCUUUCCGGCAAAGAGAACAUACUACAUAAAACCAACAUCAAAUGGCAAAGAAUUGAUUUCGAAUACAUUUGAGACGAGGUGAAUCGACUUAUUGAGCGUAUUUAAAACGAUUACAACCAAGGAGCUCAUCAGUUUAUUGUAUACGAAGCUGAUUACGAGAUACAACGUCAUAGCAAAUGCCAUCAUAACUCCGAUGAGCAAACUACAACCUCUGUCUGGCAUCAAAUUGAAUCAUAUGGCGAGGUUGAUGGUCACAGCAACAUACUCUACUGGUAAAACAGGCAAUAUCUUAUCACAUCGUAGUUAGAACUUGAUUGUUUCAUGGGGCAAAGCUGGCUUUAAAUCAGCAUCGACCACUAUCACACGGAACUUUAGCUUGUCCCCUGGUAUGCAGAUGGGUUUGUUGAGUUGUAUCAAGCCUGAAAAGGACGAGAUACGAUAUUGACUACAUUCUUUUGUGAAAAAUUUAUAGUCUCACAAUCCAUCAUUUGUGAUGGAGUAACUUUCGUGUGUUAUGUUACUUGGUAUCUGAAUAAUAUCAUUCACAAUCCGCAUGUUGUGAAGACUACGCGAGACGCAACUUUAAACUGGUUUUGAAGGGUAUCAUCUUGUUUAUAUCUGGCUGUACAAUCACUGUUUGCGUGAGAUUUAGCAAGGAACGACCAUCAGAGUCCUUUGCGAUAUUCGUAGCUUCAACAUACGAUUGCUAGUUUUGUUCUGGAUGUUACUGAUUACCAUCGCGUAGUAUCGAUUUGAUCGAAUAGUGUUAGGUAUCAUGAUGCAUAGGCUGUAGGAGCACAAUUUUACGCUAAGCCCAAGUUUCUCUCGUUAUGUUGAUGCACAACAGCACAAGGCACACACUACACUUAAUCGUCAAAAAACAUUUCUGUUUCACGCUCUCCAUACAUCCUUCGAGAUCGCCACGUUCUGUAGGAUUAUAGUUUUUCUUUAAUACACUUUCUGUGAGAAUAACUGUAUUCACUAUAAUUUCUUCUGAAAUUAACUUUAAUCAUUACUGCAAAAUGUAACAUUAAACAACGCGUUCUGCUGUUUUGGAGAAGCUGAUUGGCUCGCCAACACAUCGGGUGUUUCAUUUAUCAAAAUAAAACCUACAAGUUUGUAAU